AUCUGAGGCGACUGGUGACGCGCUUAUCCACUUCCCUCCUCCCGCCUUCCCCCGGGGUGGCGCUCGCUGGUGACGUAGUAAGUGCGAUGGCCGCCGCGAGGCCGAGAAGGUGAAGCGCAAUGUCCCUGCUCUUCUCUCGAUGCAACUCUAUCGUCACAGUCAAGAAAGAUAAGAGACACAUGGCUGAGGUGAAUGCAUCCCCACUUAAGCACUUUGUCACUGCCAAAAAGAAGAUCAAUGGCAUUUUUGAGCAGCUGGGGGCCUAUAUCCAGGAGAGCGCCACCUUCCUUGAAG
rnacentral:sRNA from 1 species